GUGGCAACCAUGGCGGACGGGUGAGUAACGCGUAAAGAACUUGCCGGAUGGACCGGGAUAACAGCUGGAAACGGCUGGCAAGACCGGAUACUAUGGGCUGGCCGCAUGGCUGGCCCAUGAAAAGGGAUGCCGUCCGAGAGCUUUGCGUCCUAUUAGCUGGUUGGUAAGGUGACGGCUUACCAAGGCGAUGAUAGGUAGCCGGCCUGAGAGGGUGGACGGCCACAAGGGGACUGAGAUACGGCCCUUACUCC
rnacentral:rRNA from 1 species